rnacentral:rRNA from 1 species
GGUCAAGCUACAAAGGGCGCAUGGUGAAUGCCUUGGCAUCAGGAGCCGAUGAAGGACGCGAUAAGCUGCGAUAAGCUUCGGGUAGACGCACAUAGUCAGAGAUCCGAAGAUUUCCGAAUGAGGAAACUCACAUGGGAAACCCCAUGUAUCAUAAAGUGAAUACAUAGCUUUAUGAAGGUAUACCCAGGGAACUGAAACAUCUAAGUACCUGGAGGAAGAGAAAGAAAAAUCGAUUUUCUUAGUAGCGGCGAGCGAAAAGGAAAGAGCCCAAACCAGAGAUUUAUCUCUGGGGUUGCGGACAGAACAUAACGAGAAAUCAUAGUUAAUUGAACACAACUGGAAAGUUGGACCACAGUGGGUAAUAGUCCCGUAAGUGAAAACUAUGAUAAUCAGUUCUGCACCAGAGUACCACGAGACACGUGAAACCUUGUGGGAAGCAGGGAGGACCACCUCCCAAGGCUAAAUACUACCUGAUGACCGAUAGUGAAGCAGUACCGUGAGGGAAAGGUGAAAAGAACCCCGGGAGGGGAGUGAAAUAGAACCUGAAACCAUGUGCCUACAACCGAUCAGAGCACCUUAUGUGUGUGAUGAUGUGCUUUUUGUAGAACGAGCCAACGAGUUACGGUAUGUAGCGAGGUUAAGUACUUAAGGUACGGAGCCGAAGGGAAACCGAGUCUUAAUAGGGCGACUAGUUGCAUGCUGUAGACCCGAAACCGGGUGACCUAUCCAUGGCCAGGUUGAAGCGAGGGUAAAACCUCGUGGAGGACCGAACCACGUUGCUGUUGAAAAAGCAUGGGAUGAGCUGUGGAUAGCGGAGAAAUUCCAAUCGAACUCGGAUAUAGCUGGUUCUCCUCGAAAUAGCUUUAGGGCUAGCGUCGGAAAAUGUGAGUAGUGGAGGUAGAGCACUGAAUAGGCUAGGGGGCAUAGCGCUUACCGAACCUUAUCAAACUCCGAAUGCCACAUACUAUCAGUCCGGCAGUCAGACUAUGAAAGAUAAGUUCCAUGGUCAAAAGGGAAACAGCCCAGAUCGUCAGCUAAGGUCCCAAAGUGUAAGUUAAGUGGAAAAGGAUGUGGGAUUUCUAAGACAACUAGGAUGUUGGCUUAGAAGCAGCCACUCAUUAAAAGAGUGCGUAAUAGCUCACUAGUCAAGAGAUCCUGCGCCGAAAAUGUCCGGGGCUCAAACUUACCACCGAAGCUACGGGCUCGCGCAUUUGCGUGAGCGGUAGAGGAGCGUCGUAAUCGGGCUGAAGUCGUACCGUAAGGAGCGGUGGACUGAUUACGAGUGAGAAUGUUGGCAUUAGUAGCGAGAUGUAGGCGAGAAUCCUACAGGCCGAAUAUCUAAGGUUUCCUGAGUAAAGUUUGUCUUCUCAGGGUUAGUCGGGACCUAAGGCGAGGCCGAAAGGCGUAGUCGAUGGACAAUUGGUUGAUAUUCCAAUACCACUACAAUCGUUAUUAUCGAUGGUGUGACGGAGAAGGAUAGGAUGUGCUAGCUAUUGGAUGCUAGUCUAAGCGUUUAGGGAGUUGGGAUUGGCAAAUCCGUUCCAACAAUUCUGAGGCGUGAUGGGGAAGGUUCUACGGAACCGAAGUAUCUGAUUCCAUGCUUCCAAGAAAAGCAUCUAGAAAGAGAAGUAGUGCCCGUACCGCAAACCGACACAGGUAGAUGAGGAGAGAAUCCUAAGGCCGACGGAAGAAUUGCAGUUAAGGAACUAGGCAAAUUGACCCCGUAACUUCGGGAGAAGGGGUGCCUGAGAAAUCAGGCCGCAGAGAAUAGGCACAAGCAACUGUUUAACAAAAACACAGGUCUCUGCUAAAGCGAAAGCUGAUGUAUAGGGCUGACGCCUGCCCGGUGCUGGAAGGUUAAGG